UGAUGAGCCAUGCCGCGUGUGUGAAGAAGGCCUUCGGGUUGUAAAGCACUUUCAGUCGUGAGGAAGGUGGUGUAGUUAAUAGCUGCAUUAUUUGACGUUAGCGACAGAAGAAGCACCGGCUAACUCCGUGCCAGCAGCCGCGGUAAUACGGAGGGUGCGAGCGUUAAUCGGAAUUACUGGGCGUAAAGCGCAUGCAGGUGGUUUGUUAAGUCAGAUGUGAAAGCCCGGGGCUCAACCUCGGAAUAGCAUUUGAAACUGGCAGACUAGAGUACUGUAGAGGGGGGUAGAAUUUCAGGUGUAGCGGUGAAAUGCGUAGAGAUCUGAAGGAAUACCGGUGGCGAAGGCGGCCCCCUGGACAGAUACUGACACUCAGAUGCGAAAGCGUGGGGAGCAAACAGGAUUAGAUACCCUGGUAGUCCACGCCGUAAACGAUGUCUACUUGGAGGUUGUGGCCUUGAGCCGUGGCUUUCGGAGCUAACGCGUUAAGUAGACCGCCUGGGGAGUACGGUCGCAAGAUUAAAACUCAAAUGAAUUGACGGGGGCCCGCACAAGCGGUGGAGCAUGUGGUUUAAUUCGAUGCAACGCGAAGAACCUUACCUACUCUUGACAUCCAGAGAACUUUCCAGAGAUGGAUUGGUGCCUUCGGGAACUCUGAGACAGGUGCUGCAUGGCUGUCGUCAGCUCGUGUUGUGAAAUGUUGGGUUAAGUCCCGCAACGAGCGCAACCCUUAUCCUUGUUUGCCAGCGAGUAAUGUCGGGAACUCCAGGGAGACUGCCGGUGAUAAACCGGAGGAAGGUGGGGACGACGUCAAGUCAUCAUGGCCCUUACGAGUAGGGCUACACACGUGCUACAAUGGCGCAUACAGAGGGCAGCAAGCUAGCGAUAGUGAGCGAAUCCCAAAAAGUGCGUCGUAGUCCGGAUUGGAGUCUGCAACUCGACUCCAUGAAGUCGGAAUCGCUAGUAAUCGUGGAUCAGAAUGCCACGGUGAAUACGUUCCCGGGCCUUGUACACACCGCCCGUCACACCAUGGGGAGUGGGCUGCAAAAGAAGUAGGUAGUUUAACCUUCGGGAGGACGCUUACCACUUUGUGGUUCAUGACUGGGGUGAUCGU
rnacentral:rRNA from 1 species